GGUUUUUUAAUUAAAAUCCAUACGCGACCAUAGCUGAAUGUAAUCAGCAUUAAAUCAAUUUCGUUCAAAUCAGACGCGAGCGUCAUGCGAUUAUGUUAUGUUUUAAUCAUAUUGAUUAUUUUAAAAUGCGGAGAACCGAGUUAUGUAGAUAUAGAUAAAAUAUUUAAAAUCCUCCUCGGUAGUAACUAUCCCAAAGCACAGAGGCAUGGCAAAGAUACUCUAAGCAACGAUCUUCUUAUUCUAGGCAGAAAUAUUCAUAUAGAAAGAAGAUUCGACGGAGCAGAAAUGUUUCGGAAAAAUUUAAAUAACGUUAUAAAUGAAAGCGGAGAAAAGAUAAAGGAAAGGACAUCAAAGAGGGUGGAAGGUAGAGAAAAGAUAAAGAAAAGGGGAGAAAAGAAACCAAGAAAAAGAUCAAGACCUAAAUACCCAAAAAGUUUAAGAGAAAUGUACAGUAAUAAACCGAAAUUGAGGAGCAGAACAGAUCAGAAUCAUACCCAAGUGAUAACGACAAUAUUUUGUCCGUUCUUCGGCGUAAUGAAAAUGAAGUCGAAAGU